AAAACUGUGGGUGAUCUGGCUGCAACAUCUUUUCCCCCUCAUUGCUCCAUAUGUGUCCCUUCUGAAGCUGCAUGCUCUGUGGGAGAGGACGACCAUCCCAGAUGGGAGUGUGCCAUUCUUCAGUCGAAGUAUACUCCUCCACUCCCCUUUAUUUAGCUGUUCUGCAGUCAUGAUU
rnacentral:sRNA from 1 species